rnacentral:rRNA from 1 species
GACGAACGCUGGCGGCGUGCUUAACACAUGCAAGUCGAGCGGUAAGGCCCUCGGGUACGACGAGCGGCGAACGGGUGAGUAACACGUGGGUGACCUGCCUCUAGCUCUGGGAUAAGCCUGGGAAACUGGGUCUAAUACCGGAUAUGACUCCACGGCGCAUGUUGUGGGGUGGAAAGCCUUGUGCGGCUAGAGAUGGGCCCGCGGCCUAUCAGCUUGUUGGUGGGGUGA